rnacentral:rRNA from 1 species
GACGAACGCUGGCGGCGUGCUUAACACAUGCAAGUCGAACGGAAAGGCCCUGCUUUUGUGGGGUGCUCGAGUGGCGAACGGGUGCGUAACACGUGAGUAACCUGCCCUUGACUUUGGGGUAACUUCAGGAAACUGGGGCUACUAUCGUAUAGGAGCCCCUGCUCCAUGGUGUGGGUUGGAACGUUUCGGCGGUUGGGAUGGACUCGCGGCUUAUCAGCUUGUUUGUGGGGUAGUGUAUUACCACGGCUUUGACGGGUAGCCGGCCUGGGAGGGUGACCGGCCACAUUGGGACUGAGAGACGGCCCAGACUCCUACGGGAGGCAGCAGUGGGGAAUAUUGCACAAUGGGCGGAAGCCUGAUGCAGCAACGCCGCGUGCGGGAUGACGGCCUUCGGGUUGUAAACCGCUUUCGCCUGUGACGAAGCGUGAGUGACGGUAAUGGGUAAAGAAGCACCGGCUAACUACGUG